UACGGGGGGAGCAAGCGUUGUUCGGAUUUACUGGGCGUAAAGGGCGCGUAGGCGGUCAGCACAAGUCAGUUGUGAAAUCUCCGGGCUUAACUCGGAAAGGUCAACUGAUACUGUGCGACUAGAGUGCAGAAGGGGCAACUGGAAUUCUCGGUGUAGCGGUGAAAUGCGUAGAUAUCGCUUGGAACGCCAAAGGUGAAAACAAGGUUGGCUGGGAAUGGUGCCGACGCUGAGA
rnacentral:rRNA from 1 species